rnacentral:rRNA from 1 species
UGAGUAAUGUCUGGGAAACUGCCUGAUGGAGGGGGAUAACUACUGGAAACGGUAGCUAAUACCGCAUAACGUCGCAAGACCAAAGAGGGGGACCUUCGGGCCUCUUGCCAUCAGAUGUGCCCAGAUGGGAUUAGCUAGUAGGUGGGGUAAUGGCUCACCUAGGCGACGAUCCCUAGCUGGUCUGAGAGGAUGACCAGCCACACUGGAACUGAGACACGGUCCAGACUCCUACGGGAGGCAGCAGUGGGGAAUAUUGCACAAUGGGCGCAAGCCUGAUGCAGCCAUGCCGCGUGUGUGAAGAAGGCCUUCGGGUUGUAAAGCACUUUCAGCGAGGAGGAAGGUGGUGAGCUUAAUACGCUCAUCAAUUGACGUUACUCGCAGAAAAAAGCACCGGCUAACUCCGUGCCAGCAGCCGCGGUAAUACGGAGGGUGGCAGCGUUAUUCGGAAUUACUGGGCGUAAAGCGCACGCAGGCGGUUUGUUAAUUCAAUGGUGAAUCCCCGGGG